GGGCGCUUAGCUCAGCUGGGAGAGCGCUGCUUUCACACGGCAGAGGUCGGCAGUUCAAGCCUGCCAGCGCCCA
rnacentral:tRNA from 1 species